AUGGGUUUUGUCGUGGCUUUGAGUUUAUUAACCCCGGUGCGAAACGAGGUGGAAAAUUUUAAUGGGUUGCCGUCUUAUCGAUCACGCAAUUCAUCAUUGCCUCAUCUCUCAAUCAGGAAGAUAUCAUGGGUUGUGAGGACAGAGUCAAAUGUCCGGAGGAAAAUACGAAAGAAGCCGGAUCCACCUUGUGUGGUAUGUGAGGGGAGUGGAAGAGUGGAUUGCCAUUGUUGUGAAGGAAGAGGAAGGACGAAUCAGGUUCAUUUGGAAGUACUUCCGAAAGGUGAAUGGCCGAGUUGGUGUAAGACCUGUGGCGGAAGUGGGCUUACGGAUUGCUCUCGGUGCGUUGGAAGUGGAGAGUAUAGGGGUGUUAUUGGGUUUCAUUUCAUGAAGAAGGAGAAUAAUGGAUCCUGA